ACAAGGUCUCCGUAGGUGAACCUGCGGAGGGAUCAUUACACAAAUACAAUAUGAAGGCUUCGGCUGGAUUAUUUAUUUCACCCUUGUCUUUUGCGCACUUGUUGUUUCCUGGGCGGGUUCGCCCGCCACCAGGACCACACCAUAAACCUUUUUUGUUAAUGCAGUCAGCGUCAGUACAACAAAUGUAAAUCAUUUACAACUUUCAACAACGGAUCUCUUGGUUCUGGCAUCGAUGAAGAACGCAGCGAAAUGCGAUACGUAGUGUGAAUUGCAGAAUUCAGUGAAUCAUCGAAUCUUUGAACGCACAUUGCGCCCUUUGGUAUUCCAAAGGGCAUGCCUGUUCGAGCGUCAUUUGUACCCUCAAGCUUUGCUUGGUGUUGGGCGUUUUGUCUUUGCUCGCCAAAGACUCGCCUUAAAACGAUUGGCAGCCGACCUCUUGGUUUCGCAGCGCAGCACAAUUUUGCGCUUGCAAAUCAGCAAGUUGGCACUCCAUCAAGAACAUUUUCUUACGUUUGACCUCGGAUCAGGUAGGGAUACCCGCUGAACUUAAGCAUAUCAAUAAGCGGAGGAAAAGAAACCAACAGGGAUUGCCCCAGUAACG
rnacentral:rRNA from 1 species